ACGAACGCUGGCGGCGUGCUUAACACAUGCAAGUCGCACGGAAAGGCCCUGCUUUUGUGGGGUGCUCGAGUGGCGAACGGGUGAGUAACACGUGAGUAACCUGCCCUUGACUUUGGGAUAACUUCAGGAAACUGGGGCUAAUACCGGAUAGGAGCUCCUGCUGCAUGGUGGGGGUUGGAAAGUUUCGGCGGUUGGGGAUGGACUCGCGGCUUAUCAGCUUGUUGGUGGGGUAGUGGCUUACCAAGGCUUUGACGGGUAGCCGGCCUGAGAGGGUGACCGGCAACAUGGGGACUGAGAUCCGGCCGGGCCCCCGAGGGGAGGAGGAGGGGGGAAAUUGGGAAAAAGGGGGGGAGGCCGGAGGCAGCACCCCGGGGGGGGGGGGGCGGGCCUUGGGUUUGUACCCCGUUUGCGCCGGGGAGGAAGGGGGGGGAAGGGAAGGGGAAAAAGAGGAACCGGCAAACAAGGUC
rnacentral:rRNA from 1 species